GACCUACACCACAACUCAUAGCAAUGCCAGAUCAUCAACCCACUGAGCAAGGCCAGGGAUUGAACCUGCAACCUCAUAGUUCAUAGUCGGAUUCGUUAACUGCUGAGCCACGACGGGAACGCCACAGUAGAAUUUUCUUUCAUGUAACAUGUAAUUGCUGUCCCUGCCCCCCCACCCCAUUUCUCUAUGGUUAAAUUCUAGUUUCAUGAGUUCUAGUUUCAUGUUGUGGUCAGAAAAAAUGCUUAAAAUAAUUUAUAUCCUUUAGUUUGUUGAGGCUUAUUUCGUGUUCUACUAUGUGGUCAAUCUGAAUGUUUGAUGUGCACGUGAAAAGAAUAUGUAUUUUUUUGUUUUGAUUGUAAUGCCCUGAAAAUAUCAAUUAACUGACCUAUUGUAUAAUUUAGGAUCUCUGUUACUUUACUGAUUUUUCUGCCUGGAAGAUCUAUCCAUUGAUGUGAGUUGUGUGUUAAAGUCUCCUACUAUUACCAUAUUCCUGUCAGUUUCUCUCUUUAUGGCUGUUAAUAUUUGUUAAUACUCUACUAAGCAAUAUAAUUAUUUAGGAGACAUAAAGAAUUUAUCACAUAAGCAAAAACUAAAAAAUACAGCAAUACUAAAACUAUCCUAAAAGAAAUACUGAAAGGUCUUCUCUAAAUAGAAAAGAAGGAAUCUAUAGGAAACAGAAAAUCAGUUGGAAAAUAAAUCACUUAAAUAAGUCACAGAUAUUUUUUAAAUGAAACUUUUUUUAUGAAAGCAGUGAUGACAACAACGAACAGCAAAAGGAUAAACAUGUAGAAAAGAUUAAAUCAAAAUCAUAAAGUGUGGGGGAGGAGAGUAAGAAAAUGUAGGCUUAAUACAUUCUAAAAAAAAAAUUUAGGAGGUUCCUGCCUGGCACAACAAGCAUCCGGCCUUGCCACAGUUUUGGUGCAGGCUGCAACUGUGGCAUGAGUUCAAUCCCUGGCCUGGGAAUUUUUACAUGCUGUUGCAGCCCCCUCCCAACAAAAAAACAACCAUAUGAUUACCAGUAUAAAGCACAUAUACAAUGGGUUAACACAUUUGAAAAACAUGGUAACCGCAAAUGAAAACUUACAACAGAAAAAAAAAAAAAACAAGAGAACACAAAAACCAAAAAGAAAAGAACACAAGCACAAUACAAAAGAAAACAAUCAAGUCACAAAAGGAAAGACAAAAGGAAACAAAGAAGACAUACAAAAAUCAACUAGAAAAUGUUUUAAAGUAGCAAUAAAUACAAAUCUGUCAAUUACCAUAAAUGUCAACGGACUAAAUGUGCCAAUCAAGAGUGGCAGAUUGGAUAAAUAAAACAAGGACCUAAAAUGUGCUGCCUACAAGAGACCCUCUUUAGGGCAAAGGACAUGCAUUAGAUUGAAAUUGAAGGCAUGGGAAAAGAUACUUCAGUCGUGGAAAAAGAUAUUUCAUGCAAACAAAAAUGAAAAAAUGGGGUUAUCAAUGUUCAUAUUAGACAAAAUAGACUUUAAAGGCCAGAAAGCUGAUAAAGGAUACUAUAUAAUAAAAGGAUUAAUAUAAAAAGAGGCUAUUAUGGUCAUUAACAUAUAUGCACCCCACCAUAGAAGCACCUAAACACCAGAAAAAAUAUUCUAAGAAAUGCCACUUUUUUGGCAGUGGCAUUGGAAUCCCAGAAAGCAAGUAACCUGAAGAGAGGUGAGGGGAAGGAACUACUGGGGAAGGGACAAUGAAUUACCGUAGGAAGGAAGGACUUUGGAGAAAAGACAGCCUCACAGAGGAGCUUCUAGUCCUUUUAUUAACAGGACCUUGACCCAAUGACUUACCAGACAAAACAAACUGACCUAGUUAUGAAAAAGCUGCAGUAAAAAAUCAAACACUUUGACCUGAUAGAAAGUAGAAUUCUUAGGGCUAAGAAGUAAAAACAAAAACAACUGCCAGAUACAGAAUCAAACUUUUAUUUUUAAUGAAUAAGUCACAAAAGGAAAGACAAAAAAUAAGUCACAAAAGGAAAGACAAGGAUCCGGCUUUGCCACAGUUUUGGUUCAGGCUGCAACUGUGGCAUGAGUUCAAUCCCUGGCCUGUGAAUUAAAGGCAUUAGCCUUUAAUAUGAUAAACAUCUACAAUACUGGAGAUAUUUUCAAUUCUAAAAUGAAAAAACAAAAUUGUGUUUUUCUUUCUUGGUUUACCUUGAAUUGAGAAAAAAAUAUUGGUUUCGUUUUUUCACUAAGAUGUAAAAUGUUAUAUUUUCCUAUUGUGAUGUUCAGUAAAAGUUUACCUUUGAACCCUUUAAAGGCAAAGUAUUUUAUUUUAUUCUGUUUAAUAGUCCUCAAAAUUCUUCAGUGGAUAAAAUACCUGCAGAAUAAUUUUUAAAUUUUUUAUUUUUUAAAUUUUAAUGAAGUAUUGUUGACUUCUACCCAUUCUUUUUCAGAUUCUUUUCCAUAUCACAGAAUAAUGAGUUCCCUGUGGUAUAUAGCAGGUCCCUGCUGACCAUCCACUUCAUAUGCAAUAGUGCAGUCCUACUAAAGGAAUGGAAGAAAUGCCAAAAUAAUGGAACCAGCCCCCUCUACCCGGGCAGGUGGAGGAAAGCCUGACCCUUCAUUUCCAACACUGGCUUUAAGCAAAGAAAAUCUUCAGCAGAAACCACAGCACCCACGGUGUUCAUCUUCCCAGUGACAACAAACAGGGCGGAGACAGGGCGUAAGACACCGAGGGCCACCAAGGGGGCCUUCCACCUCCUGGCCCAGCCCAAGUGUCCCCAGGCCCCUAGAAUGGUCUCAUAUUCCUAGAAUAUGGAAGGUGCAGGGUCGUCAGCCAUGAUGCGGCCUGGCCCCUGCCUGGUGCCUACAGGGAGGGGACCACAGUGCUGUGCGUCCCACCCCAGCUGCUCUGCCCCAUCUCUGGUUUCAUCCUGUCCUGCUCUGAGGUUACUAGGCCAGGGGUGGCAGUAUUGCCUCCUGCUGGGGGAGAGCCACUGACCCCUGGACUUCCUCAGAGGUGCA